CAGCCGCCGCGGUAAUACGGAGGAUGCAAGCGUUAUCCGGAUUCAUUGGGUUUAAAGGGUGCGUAGGCGGACUAUUAAGUCAGUGGUGAAAGCCUGCAGCUUAACUGCAGAACUGCCAUUGAUACUGAUAGUCUUGAGUUUGGUUAAGGUAGGCGGAAUGUGUAAUGUAGCGGUGAAAUGCUUAGAUAUUACACAGAACACCAAUUGCGUAGGCAGCUUACUGAGCCGACACUGACGCUGAGGCACGAAAGCGUGGGGAUCGAACAGGAUUAGAUACCCUGGUAGUCCACGCCGUAAACGAUGAUUACUCGCUGUUGGCGAUACACUGUCAGCGGCUAAGCAAAAGCAAUAAGUAAUCCACCUGGGGAGUACGGCCGCAAGGUUGAAACUCAAAGGAAUUGACGGGGGCCCGCACAAGCGGAGGAACAUGUGGUUUAAUUCGAUGAUACGCGAGGAACCUUACCUGGGCUUAAAUGUAGAGUGCAUUUUCUAGAGAUAGGAAUUCCCUUCGGGGCUUUCUGCAAGGUGCUGCAUGGUUGUCGUCAGCUCGUGCCGUGAGGUGUCGGGUUAAGUCCCAUAACGAGCGCAACCCUUAUCGUUAGUUGCCAGCUGGUAAAGCAGGGGACUCUAACGAAACUGCCGGUGUAAACCGAGAGGAAGGUGGGGAUGACGUCAAAUCAGCACGGCCCUUAUGUCCAGGGCUACACACGUGUUACAAUGGCCGGUACAAAGGGCAGCUAUGCCGCGAGGCAAUGCUAAUCUCGAAAACCGGUCUCAGUUCGGAUCGAAGUCUGCAACUCGACUUCGUGAAGCUGGAUUCGCUAGUAAUCGCGCAUCAGCAACGGCGCGGUGAAUACGUUCCCGGGCCUUGUACACACCGCCCGUCAAGCCAUGGAAGCUGGGGGUACCUG
rnacentral:rRNA from 1 species